GACGAACGCUGGCGGCGUGCUUAACACAUGCAAGUCGAGCGGUAAGUCCCUUUCGGGGGUACACGAGCGGCGAACGGGUGAGUAACACGUGGGUGACCUGCCUUUAGCUUCGGGAUAAGCCUGGGAAACCGGGUCUAAUACCGGAUAUGACCUGUCCUCGCAUGGGGGUGGGUGGAAAGUUUUUCGGCUAGAGAUGGGCCCGCGGCCUAUCAGCUUGUUGGUGGGUGAUGGCCUACCAAGGCGA
rnacentral:rRNA from 1 species